AGCUUAGUUGGGUAAAUAGUUUUGCCACGCAUUUACUUUGAAAAUUGUUUCCAAUAAAGGCAUACUUUGGCAAUUCUUCCCUCAUGAAGUCAAUACACUUUGGAAGUCUCUUAUUUACCCCGUCAUCCAGUCGCUCCGUUCAAGUCAUUCACCAACUCUCAACUCCUACAUUCAAUUUCUACCAGUUCAUAUCAAAUCUGCAAAUCUGAAAAAAAAUUCAUCAUCAAUUCAUCUUUUAUUAGGUGAAAUUCUUGUUUGAUGGUUGAAUAUUACCAAGAUUAUUGCUUGAGAGAGCGUGUUGGAAGUGGAGAGAGAUUGUUGCUUGUUUUCCCCUAAAAAAAUUAAGGCAACAAUCUCUCUCCACUACCACCAAGCUCACUAUCAUCGGGCAAAUUUAUAUCUCAAAGAUUAAAGAAGGGAUUGAUGAUCAAUGCAGCGUGAUGAAGUUUUCUGCUUUGAAUGGCAUUGGAUGUAUUACUCCUAAUUAUUUUCUGCUGAUAUUUUGGAGUUCUGACUACCUCCCAUGAACAUUAAUAAAGAUCAGAGCUGUGGAAUGAACUGGAUAUCUAAGGAUAUGUUUGAAGCUCUGGAUGGCGAUUUUGGAGUUAAGUUUACGUUGUAAUGGCUGCAAGACUAUGUGGAACAGAGAAACAUGCAUGCGUAUGAAAAGGAAAGGCGGUCUUUGGAUGAUGGUUUUGAUGAGGAGGCAUAGUAUGCCUGUCUAUUUGCAGCUCUCACUACUAAAGUGAAGUGAUGAGACUUUUAAGUUCUCUAAAUGGUGAUCAUAUUCCGUCCGGGGGUGGUGGUGGUUUCGAGUUGAUUGAAAGCGCCCAAGGUGUGUUGGUGUUGCUAUGCUUGAUGGUUGUGUCCAUUUCAAUUAUAUCCAUGCUUGUAUUUGCAUGUGCUGAUGAUGGUGAACCUAGAAAAAAACGUAGUGGUUAUGUUGGUGGUACCUUUACCAGUGGAUAUGGUGGAGGCAGCGGAGGUGUAGGUGGAGGUUGUGGUUCCGGCGGAGGCGGAGGAUGUGGUGGGGGUGGGGGUGGAGGAUGUGGAGGUGGCAGUUGCUAAAAGUAUUAAACAUCAAACUUCAAUUCGACUCAACAAUAAUCGGUUUCUUUUCUAUAAACCUUUCUUUGCACUUGUUUUUAGAUAUAUCAAUAAGUGCUUUGUUUGGGUUUGUGUGGAAGUGUUUGUAAGGUGGUGGUUGCUACAUGCUAAGGCGUCCAAACGUUACUAAGGUUACUUUUUAUUUUAUUUUAUUUGGUGUGCCUCAAGUUUUAGUAUGUGAAAAGAAUUAAUGUGUAUAAUGAUAUAUAUAUUGACAAUACAAACGUAAACUAUAAUAAAUUUAUGUUAUAGCUCUAUAUAUGAUAUGUUUAGAUGAUAAUUUAUACUCCGUAUUUCUUUUAUUCCAAAUACUCUGUUGGUGAUAAUGGUAAAGGAUGACUCUCUCAAUUAUCUACCCUUUCCCUCUUAAUAUUAUUUAUUGUUUGGGCAUUAACUUGGGCGUUAGAGGCUCGCUCUUAAUUCAUUUUGAUGAAGCCAUUUAUAACCCGGACUCAAGAACCACAAGCAUCCAUGCCUUCAACGCGGCAUUCUGAAAUAAUCUGUGGAAAAAUCAACCCUGCCUCAGUCUAAGUAGACUUUUAUUGCUUAACAACAAAGUAUACUUAAUUAAUUACUUAAGAAAUGUAAUCAUACAAGUUAUAAUUAUUUUAUGAAUGGUUAAUACUUUUCCUAUAAAUACAUGUACCCUUUGCCUGCUAGAGGAGACCCUGAAAUUCUUUUAGGAAGAAAAAUCAACAGAGAAAAGUGAUGAGGCUAUUGAGUUCUUUUCAGCAUGCCCCGUAUGGGGUUGGCGGUUUCGAGCUGCUCGGAAGCGUUGGUGGUAUGUUGGCAUUGCUCGGUUUGAUGGUUAUGUCCGUUUCAAUUAUUUCCAUGCUCGUAUUUGCGUGUGCUGAUGAUGGUAACGAUACACCAAAAAAACACCGUCGUAAGAGUCAUACUAGUGGUGGUGGAUUCGUUUUUGGUGGUUAUGGAGGUGGAGGUGGGUGUGGGGGCGGAGGUGGAGGCGGCGGCGGCGGUUGUUAAUAAACGUACAUAUUCAUGCUAAAAUAUUGAUCUUCGUCACUUUUCAUGAGAGUUCUCCUUCUUUGCAUUUGUUCCUCCUAUAUACCUCUUCAUUUAUACUUUGUACAUGUGUAGUAAAACUUGUAAUUCGUGACUAUUGUGAGGAAUAAUAUUUGUACCGACUAAUGAAGCAAUUUAAGUCUGUAUGUUGUGUAAGUGAUUUUGCAGUGUGAAAAAAAUUAUUGUGUAUAAGUCAAGAAAGAAUAUGUAAAUUAUAAUACUUUUUUCGGUUUUUGUUAGUUGAUA